AUAUACAUUAUUCAAUACACCCAAAUUUUGAAAUCAAUUUUCACAGUUCACGACUUCACGCUCGCUCACCAAAUAAACCCUAAAUCAUCGGCCGCCGCGCAUGCUUCACAGUUCACUUCAGUCGCCGGCCGUUCAACCCUUCGACCUUCAUCGCCAGCCCCACUAAACCCUUCACAGUUCACUUCAUCGCUGCUCACCUUCAUCGCUUUCAGUCACCGGUGUCGCUUUCAAGUAGUUCUGGCAGUUACAGAAACACAUAUCAUUUCAGUCACAGUCGCUGCUUUCAACCCUUCACUGCAGAUUAGGGUAUUUCAUUUAAGAUGUUUCUAUUUGAAUAUGUGUUUCUGUUUGAUAAGAAGUGAACUGUUAUUGCUGCAACUUGAAUAGAAAAACAAAUGUUAUUGUUGUUUGAUAAGAAGUGAACUGUGAUGUAUUCACGAAAAAUUGAAUAUUUCAUGUCCUUGUCUUAACAGGUCGUGUUCGGGUCUUAACAGGUCGUGUUUGUGUCUUAAACAGGUCAUAUGAUAUGUUGGCAACAUUUUCGUGUCUUAACAGGUUUCGUGUUCGUGUCUUAUCGUGUUCGUGUCUUAACAGAUCGGGUUGACCCGAUAUGCCAGCCCUAAGAGGAACAUAUAAUAAGAGCCAAAACCGGAUCACAACAGUGGAUUCAUCAUAAGCAUCUGUUUGCAUUAGACUUUCCCCUUGACAGUGGUUAUCUGACAACUGACAAACUUCAAAGCACUGCCCAAAAGAACAAUUGUUACUAAAGUACUGAUGAAGAUUAAAGACUGAAGCUCAAUCUACUGAUGGAAUCCAAGCACUGUUGAAGAACUGAAGUACUGCCCAUUCAAGGUCUGAUCACCCUUUGAAGAAAGCACUGAUGCUCAACAUCAGUGGUUGACUACAACAGUGGAAUGCAGAAUCAGUGUUUAUACAUCAGUGUUUAGAAUGUAAUCAAUGUCUGUAUGAUCAGUUGUUAUAGAUCAGUAGAUAGAGUUUGUUAGGUUGUUAGAUGUCACUUUCAUGGUGACGUCAGCUUAGAUGUUUCAGUGGUUUGGUUUGCCUAUAAAUGUAACAGUACUCUGCACUGUUACAUUUGAUUGACUGAGUAGGUUCUUCUCCUCAUGUCUAAUCCUUUCAUCUUGUGCUAUCAACCUUGGAGUAUCAAGUUGAGGGGGAGUUUAGCUUGUAAGCAUGUUUUGUAAUCUUUCGAUUUGCUUUUUAACCUUUUGACUGAUGGAAAUCAUUUGUUUAUCAAACUAUUUUCCUCUUUGAUUGUGUUUAUAAAGUUUGUGUUCAUUUCC